rnacentral:rRNA from 1 species
CACGUAGGGUGCGAGCGUUGUCCGGAAUUAUUGGGCGUAAAGAGCUCGUAGGCGGUGUGUCGCGUCGGCCGUGAAAACCUGCAGCUUAACUGUGGGCUUGCGGUCGAUACGGGCAUCACUGGAGUUCGGCAGGGGAGACUGGAAUUCCUAGUGUAGCGGUGAAAUGCGCAGAUAUCAGGAGGAACACCGGUGGCGAAGACGGGUCUCUGGGCCGAUACUGACGCUGAGGAGCGAAAGCGUGGGGAGCGAACAGG